UACAGAGGUCCCAAGCGUUGUUCGGAUUCACUGGGCGUAAAGGGUGCGCAGGUGGGUUUGCAAGUUUGAUGUGAAAGCCCCCGGGCUUAACCCGGGAAUGGCAUUGAAUACUGCAGAUCUGGAGGAUUGGAGGGGGGGGGACUGGAAUUCUUGGUGUAGCAGUGAAAUGCGUAGAUAUCAAGAGGAACACCAGUGGCGAAGGCGAGUCCCUGGACAAUACCUGACACUGAGGCACGAAAGCUAGGGGAGCAAACAGG
rnacentral:rRNA from 1 species